rnacentral:rRNA from 1 species
CCUACGGGGGGCAGCAGUGGGGAAUAUUGGACAAUGGGGGCAACCCUGAUCCAGCCAUGCCGCGUGUGUGAAGAAGGCCCUCGGGUUGUAAAGCACUUUCAGUGAGGAAGAACGCCUGGUGGUUAAUACCCAUCAGGAAAGACAUCACUCACAGAAGAAGCACCGGCUAACUCCGUGCCAGCAGCCGCGGUAAUACGGAGGGUGCGAGCGUUAAUCGGAAUUACUGGGCGUAAAGCGCGCGUAGGUGGCUUGAUAAGCCGGUUGUGAAAGCCCCGGGCUCAACCUGGGAACGGCAUCCGGAACUGGCGAGCUAGAGUGCAGGAGAGGAAGGUAGAAUUGCCGGUGUAGCGGUGAAAUGCGUAGAGAUCUGGAGGAAUACCAGUGGCGAAGGCGGCCUUCUGGACUGACACUGACACUGAGGUGCGAAAGCGUGGGUAGCAAACAGGAUUAGAUACCCUAGUAGUC